GAUGAACGCUGGCGGCGUGCCUAAUACAUGCCAGUCGAGCGAACAGACGAGGAGCUUGCUCCUCUUACGUUAGCGGCGGACGGGUGAGUAACACGUGGAUAACCUACCUAUAAGACUGGGAUAACUUCGGGAAACCGGAGCUAAUACCGGAUAAAAUAUUGAAACGCAUGGUUCAAUAGUGAAAGAUGGAUUUGCUUCAACUUAUAGAUGGAUCCGCGCCGCUUUAGCUAGUUGUGAGGGAAACGCUUUACAAAGGGAACGAUCAGUAGCCGACCUGAAAGGGGAAUCGGCCACACUGGAACUGGGACACGGCCCAGACUCCAACGGGAGGAGCCGUAGGGGAAUCUUCGGCAUGGGGCAAAGUCCUAACGGAGCAAGGCCGGGUGAGUGAUGAAGGUCUUCGGAUCUUAAAACUCUGUUAUUGGGGAGGAACAAAGGUGUAAGUAACUAUUCACGUCUUGACGGUACCUAAUCAGAAAGCCACGGCUAACUACGUG
rnacentral:rRNA from 1 species